UACGGGGGGGGCGAGCGUUGUUCGGAAUUACUGGGCGUAAAGGGUUUGUAGGUGGCCUGCUAAGUCAGACGUGAAAUCCCUCAGCUUAACUGGGGAACUGCGUCUGAUACUGGCGGGCUUGAGGACAGGAGAGGAACGCGGAAUUCCAGGUGUAGCGGUGAAAUGCGUAGAUAUCUGGAGGAACACCGGUGGCGAAGGCGGCAUUCUGGACCGAUAUUGACGCUGAGGAGCGAAAGCCAGGGGAGCAAACGGG
rnacentral:rRNA from 1 species